rnacentral:rRNA from 1 species
UACGUAGGGGCAAGCGUUGUCCGGAAUCAUUGGGCGUAAAGAGCGCGUAGGCGGCCCAGUAAGUCCGCUCUGAAAGUCAGGGGCUCAACCCCUGAAUGCGGGUGGAUACUGCUGGGCUAGAGUCCGGAAGAGGCGAGUGGAAUUCCUGGUGUAGCGGUGAAAUGCGCAGAUAUCAGGAGAACACCCAUGGCAAGGCGCUCUGGACGG